rnacentral:misc_RNA from 1 species
UGAUGGAACGCUACUAUUAUUAAAGGCAAAAUAGUUUUAAUAUCUGUAAAAUUUAACAAAUUGAGAUAAUGGGACAUCAAAACAACUUAUCAAUUAACAAAAGUACAUCAAAAGUAGUUCAUUAUCAAAUAAUAAAUUGUUUUUUAAAUUUGGUUUUGGAAAAAUUAAUUUAAUCAAUUAGCAGAAGUUAUAUUUAUCAUGAGUACAAUCGAGGAGAAAAUAAAAUCAGAGUUAGAUGUUCUCUGGAGCAAUUGUGAAUUAUUAUUAAUUACAGACUAUGAGCUAUUAGAUUCAAACAAAAUUGAAAACAUUUCUAAAAUGGUAAUUCAAAUAUCAACAAUUUUAGUUGAAAAUAGCACUCAUGAAGAAAUGGAAUCAGUUUUGUUAAAUUUUUGCAAACAGAAUGAUAUUUUUAACAAAAUUUAUAGGUGGACUGGUUUGAAUCGUAAAUAUUUAAAACCAAUGGCUUCAUUGCAGUUAUCUUGUUAUAAUACUCUUAUUCAGAAGGCUUCAGGAAAGCUGCUUGCAUGUAAGCAAGUGAUGAUACCAUUACUUUUACUUAUGUUAUCUCUAAAACCAACUGACACCCGUAGGACUCCACACGAAGUAGAGUUUUUAUAUGUAAAUAUUUUAUACAAUAUAUCUCAGCGAAUUUCAAAUACAUAUUUAUUAGACUUAUUAUCCCAUGAUUUAUAUACUCCAAAUGAAGAUUUUAAAAUUCCUCGUUUCACAUUUUUUGAAUUACUUCUAUUUUACACACAUAAGCCUGGUGAAAUUGGAGAUUUAGCACGUUUAGCUAUUCUUACAUGUCUUAAAUUUUCUAUUAGAAAUGAUCCUCUCAAUGAAUUUAUUUGCCAUCAAACAGUUGCAUGUGCUAUAAUUGCUGGUGGUCUUAGUGCACGUUACUCAUCUCUUCCUACAACAUUAGUCAUGAAUUCUGAAGGUUGGCAUACUAUUACAAAAACCGACUUAGAGAAUUUGCCUGUGUUGCGAGCAUUCUUAAAUUGUCUUUCUUUUUGCUGCAAUGUUAUGGAUUGUGGAAAUCAUCUAGUAAAUUCAAGACUGACAUCUUUAAUACAUGAUGGAUUUUUAAUGUCAGUACUGGCUCCUGCACUUAACCAGUCUCCUAUUGAAGCUCAGAUAGCUGCUCUUGCAUACUUGGAUUUAUCUUUACGUUUUAUUUCAAGUGAAUAUUUAAUGGAAAUAUUUUUAAAAUUUCUACUAACAGAAGCUUAUGAUAACAAAUCAAUUAUUAACUUGCUGAUCAGCUGUAUGACCUCUGAUUCAGAAAAGCUUGCAAUGGUUACCAUACGAUUGUUUCAAACUAUGUUUGAUUUAAAUUGUGAAGAUGUACUAUUUGACUUGAUUCUUAAGUAUUUACUUCCAUGCAAUCAUAUUCUGCCAAACCAAAAACGUAUCAUUAAAGAGAUGGAUUUUUAUUGUAAGAGUGCCAUCAUGUUUUUGUACUUAAUACCAGCCUCAUGCAUUGAAGCAAAAAAAGAAGAUGAAGAAGUCAGCCCUCUGUUACCUCAAAAGAGCUCAUAUAGUUCUACGUUAAUGGAAAAUAAAACUGACAAUAGCUUACAAGCCAAAAAAAAGUUUAGUGUAGAUAGCAACGGUAGUCAAAAUAGUUUUUUAUCAAAAGAUUCCUAUUCUUCCUUAGGCACAUUUGACUUGAUGGAAUAUUUAGCAGACGCUAGAAAAAUAAUAAUGGAAUGUAAGAGAGCUUGUAAGUGCUGGUCUAAUGCUUAUGAUGGAAUGGAUGUUAUAAUUGAUAAUUACAGUGAAAAGUCUUCUUAUACCAGCAACAUGGUACGAACUAAGUCAACUAUUUCAACCAAAACAAAUCGAAGUGCUACAAAUAUUUCUAUAAAUGGAGAAAUGUGUCUUGGAGAUGCUAGAGCAGAAUGUAUUGGUCCCUUUCUAAAUGCUUUAUUUGACAAACUGGAAAAGAUGACGGAAAAUAGUUUUCACUUAAAUCUUUGUUUAACAAGUUUAGUAACACGACUGGCCUGUUAUCCUCAACCAUUGCUUAGAUCCUUUCUACUUAAUUCCAAUCUUGUUAUUCAACCAGGUGUUCGAUCAUUAUCACAAGUGAUGAUGCCUUUACACUUCUCAACUUGAUUCUCCGUCAAUUUUCAGAUGUUGAUCCUAGAGUAAUUGUAGUUCGAGUAAUUUCACAGAUGUCACGCACACAGAAUGAUUGGUUUCCGGUGCUUGCUCGUGUUUCAACAACAAGUGAUGCGUUUGUGUCACAAUUUCACGAUUAUCGGCAAUUAAUUAGAAAAGCUCGACAACAUUUAAUGCAACCAGAUCAAUCUAAAUAUUUUACUGAAGAUCCUAGUUUAUUUAAGGACUUAAAUAAUACAGAACUCACAGUUAACUGUACUCUUCAAUCAAACGAAGAUACCCAGGCAAUUU